rnacentral:lncRNA from 1 species
UAUGUAUUUAUUUUUACAUAUAUAUAUGUGUAUUUGUCUAUUUUACUCUUUGAUUUAUUUUAUAGAAACAAAUUUAUACACAUCCAAGGUAUAUAAUACUCAAUACGAUGAAAGUAAAAUUAAGAACAUAAUAUACCAGGUUAACCAAUAAUAUAAAUAAAAAAUGUAAAUGAUAAAAUACUAUAAAACUGUAAUUGUGUGUUGAAGCAUAUUUUUACAUAUGAUAUUAAUGUACGAUACAUAAAAUUUAACAAAGCAUAUAUAUAUAUAUGUUUUAUACACAACUUUGCUUUGUUAUAUAUUACAUAUAUUUAUUCAUUUAUCGUUAUACAUACCCAUUUAUUUAUUUUUUUUACAGAUUAUACUUACUGUCAAUUAUUUACACUCAAAAAAUUUAGUACACAAGAACCUACAUCUUCAAAGCUUCCUGAUUAAAUCUAUUAACAACGAAAUCAUGAUUAAAUUAGAAGACAUUCAUAAGAUUAUAUUAAAUUCAUCAAAAUCAAACAAAGCUAUGAAAGGCCAAAAUGUGUACAGCAUUGGAGUUAUAAGUGAUUAUAUCAAAAAAAAAAAAAAAAAAAAAAAAAGAGUCUACUUUUAUUUUCA